rnacentral:rRNA from 1 species
AAGCGUGCGCAGGCGGUUUUGUAAGACUGUCGUGAAAUCCCCGGGCUCAACCUGGGAAUGGCGAUGGUGACUGCAAGGCUAGAGUUUGGCAGAGGGGGGUAGGAAUUCCACGUGUAGCAGUGAAAUGCGUAGAUAUGUGGAGGAACACCGAUGGCGAAGGCAGCCCCCUGGGUCAAAACUGACGCUCAUGCACGAAAGCGUGGGGAGCAAACAGGAUUAGAUACCCUUGU